rnacentral:rRNA from 1 species
AUUGAACGCUGGCGGCAGGCCUAACACAUGCAAGUCGAGCGGAGAGGCGGACGGGUGCGUAAUGACUAGGCAUCUGCAUGUUAGUGGGGGAUAACGUCCGGAAACGGGCGCUAGUACCGCAUACUAUCAGAUGAGCCUAGGUCGGAUAAGCUAGUUGGUGGGGUAACGGCCUACCAAGGGGACGAGCCGUAACUGGUCUUAGAGGAUGAUCAGUCACACUGGAACUGGAACACGGUCCAGACUCCUACGGGAGGCAGCAGUGGGGAAUAUUGGACAAUGGGCGAAAGCCUGAUCCAGCCAUGCCGCGUGGGUGAAGAAGGUCUUCGGAUUGUAAAGCACUUUAAGUUGGGAGGCGUGACCAAAAGAAUAAGCACCGGCUAACUUCGUGCCAGCAGCCGCGGUAAUAC